UACGUAGGGGGCAAGCGUUGUCCGGAUUCAUUGGGCGUAAAGAGCGUGUAGGCGGCCAGGUAGGUCGGUUGUGAAAACUGGAGGCUCAACCUUCAGAGGUCGACCGAAACCAUCUGGCUAGAGUCCGGGAGAGGAGAGUGGAAUUCCUGGUGUAGCGGUGAAAUGCGUAGAGAUCGGGAGGAACAUCAGUGGCGAAGGCGGCCCUCUGGACCAGCACUGACGCUGAGGCACGAAAGCGUGGGGAGCAAACAGG
rnacentral:rRNA from 1 species